GAAGGUAUAGAGCAGUGGUAGAGUGUAUGCCUAGCAUAAAAGAGGUCCUGGGUUCAAUCCCCAGUACCUCUG
rnacentral:tRNA from 1 species